rnacentral:rRNA from 1 species
UACAGAGGUCCCAAGCGUUGUUCGGAUUCACUGGGCGUAAAGGGUGCGUAGGUGGCCAGGUAAGUUCGGUGUGAAAGCUCGGAGCUUAACUCCGAAAUGGCAUUGAAUACUAUCUGGCUAGAGGGUCGGAGGGGAGACUGGAAUUCUCGGUGUAGCAGUGAAAUGCGUAGAUAUCGGGAGGAAGGCCGGUGGCGAAGGCGGCGCUCUGGAACAUUUCUGACGCUGAGGCUCGAAAGGCGUGGGAGCAAACAGG